rnacentral:rRNA from 1 species
CGUAGGGUGCGAGCGUUAAUCGGAAUUACUGGGCGUAAAGCGUGCGCAGGCGGUUAUAUAAGACAGAUGUGAAAUCCCCGGGCUCAACCUGGGACCUGCAUUUGUGACUGUAUAGCUAGAGUACGGUAGAGGGGGAUGGAAUUCCGCGUGUAGCAGUGAAAUGCGUAGAUAUGCGGAGGAACACCGGAUGGCGAAGGCAAUCCCCUGGACCUGUACUGACGCUCAUGCACGAAAGCGUGGGGAGGCAAACAGGAUUAGAUACCCUGGUAGUCCACGCCCUAAACGAUGUCAACUGGUUGUUGGGUCUUCACUGACUCAGUAACGAAGCUAACGCGUGAAGUUGACCGCCUGGGGAGUACGGCCGCAAGGUUG